rnacentral:snRNA from 1 species
GUGCUUGCUUAGGCAAAGCAGCACAUGUACCAAAAUUGGAAUGAUACAGAGAAGUUCAGCGUGACCCUUGUGUGUAAGGAUGACAUGUAAAUUUGUGAAGCGUUACAUAUUAAA